GCUUUGUUGGCUAAGUGGUAUAGCGUCUCACUAGUAACGCUGGUGACAUGAGAAGAUCGGCGGUUCGAUUCCGCCACGAGGCA
rnacentral:tRNA from 1 species